CGCGGGGUGGAGCAGUCUGGUAGCUCGUUGGGCUCAUAACCCAAAGGUCGUAGGUUCAAAUCCUGCCUCCGCAA
rnacentral:tRNA from 1 species